UACGUAGGGGGCAAGCGUUGUCCGGAAUCAUUGGGCGUAAAGCGCGUGUAGGCGGCUUGGUAAGUCUGCUCAUGAAAGCCCGGGGCUCAACCCCGGGAGGCGGGUGGAUACUGUCAAGCUCGAGUUCGGUAGGGGAGACUGGAAUUCCUGGUGUAGCGGUGAAAUGCGCAGAUAUCAGGAGGAACACCGGUGGCGAAGGCGGGUCUCUGGGCCGAUACUGACGCUGAGGAGCGAAAGCGUGGGGAGCGAACAGG
rnacentral:rRNA from 1 species